CGGUUGAUCCUGCCGGACCUGACUGCUAUCGGAUUGAUACUAAGCCAUGCGAGUCAUUGUAGCAAUACAAGGCAGACGGCUCAGUAACGCGUAGUCAACCUAACCUAUGGACGGGAAUAACCUCGGGAAACUGAGAAUAAUGCCCGAUAGAACACUAUACCUGGAAUGGUUUGUGUUCCAAAUGAUUUAUCGCCGUAGGAUGGGACUGCGGCCUAUCAGUUUGUUGGUGAGGUAAUGGCCCACCAAGACUAUUACAGGUACGGGCUCUGAGAGGAGUAGCCCGGAGAUGGGUACUGAGACACGGACCCAGGCCCUAUGGGGCGCAGCAGGCGAGAAAACUUUGCAAUGUGCGAAGGCACGACAAGGUUAAUCCGAGUGAUUUGUGCUAAACGAAUCUUUUGUUAGUCCUAGAACCACUAACGAAUAAGGGGUGGGCAAGUUCUGGUGUCAGCCGCCGCGGUAAAACCAGCACCUCAAGUGGUCAGGAUGAUUAUUGGGCCUAAAGCAUCCGUAGCCGGCUCUGUAAGUUUUCGGUUAAAUCUGUACGCUUAACGUACAGGCUGCCGGGAAUACUGCAGAGCUAGGGAGUGGGAGAGGUAGACGGUACUCGGUAGGAAGGGGUAAGAUCCUUUGAUCUAUUGAUGACCACCUGUGGCGAAGGCGGUCUACCAGAACACGUCCGACGGUGAGGGAUGAGAGCUGGGGGAGCAAACCGGAUUAGAUACCCGGGUAGUCCCAGCUGUAAACUAUGCAAACUCAGUGAU
rnacentral:rRNA from 1 species